rnacentral:lncRNA from 1 species
UUGCUCCAGACCCAGACGAGUCUUGGUCGGAGGGUUCGAGGAAGAUGAGAGACGGCUCUGGCACCAGCAGUAGUACCA